rnacentral:rRNA from 1 species
GAUGAACGCUGGCGGCGUGCCUAAUGCAUGCAAGUCGAGCGAACGGACGAGAAGCUUGCUUCUCUGAUGUUAGCGGCGGACGGGUGAGUAACACGUGGAUAACCCACCUAUAAGACUGGGAUAACUUCGGGAAACCGGAGCUAAUACCGGAUAAUAUUUUGAACCGCAUGGUUCAAAAGUGAAAGACGGUCUUGCUGUCACUUAUAGAUGGAUCCGCGCUGCAUUAGCUAGUUGGUAAGGUAACGGCUUACCAAGGCAACGAUGCAUAGCCGACCUGAGAGGGUGAUCGGCCACACUGGAACUGAGACACGGUCCAGACUCCUACGGGAGGCAGCAGUAGGGAAUCUUCCGCAAUGGGCGAAAGCCUGACGGAGCAACGCCGCGCGAGUGAUGAAGGUCUUCGGAUCGUAAAACUCUGUUAUUAGGGAAGAACAUAUGUGUAAGUAACUGUGCACAUCUUGACGGUACCUAAUCAGAAAGCCACGGCUAACUACGUG